rnacentral:rRNA from 1 species
GUGUCAGCCGCCGCGGUAAUACAGGGGGCUCGAGCGUUAGUCGGAAUCACUGGGCUUAAAGGGUGCGUAGGCGGUCCAUCAAGUGUUCUGUGAAAUCCCCGAGCUCAACUCGGGAACUGCAGGGCAAACUGAAGGACUUGAAGCAGGUAGGGGCUGGAAGAACAGUUGGUGGAGCGGUGAAAUGCGUAGAUAUCAACUGGAAUGCCGAUGGGGAAGCCGUCCAGCUGGGCCUGUCUUGACGCUGAGGCACGAAAGCGUGGGGAGCAAACAGGAUUAGAUACCCCUGUAGUCC